rnacentral:rRNA from 1 species
ACGGGAGGCAGCAGUGGGGAAUAUUGGGCAAUGGGCGCAAGCCUGACCCAGCAACGCCGCGUGAAGGAAGAAGGCUUUCGGGUUGUAAACUUCUUUUAUGGGGGACGAAACAAAUGACGGUACCACAUGAAUAAGCCACGGCUAACUACGUGCCAGCAGCCGCGGUAAUACGUAGGUGGCAAGCGUUAUCUGGAUUUACUGGGUGUAAAGGGCGUGUAGGCGGGAAGGCAAGUCAGAUGUGAAAACUAUGGGCUCAACCCAUGGCCUGCCUUUGAAACUGUUUUUCUUGAGUAUCGGAGCGGAAGGUGGAAUUACGCGUGUAGCGGUGAAAUGCGUAGAUAUACGGAGGAACACCAGUGGCGAAGGCGGCCUGCUGGACGACAACUGACGCUGAGGCGCGAAAGCGUGGGGAGCAAACAGGAUUAGAUACCCUGGUA